rnacentral:lncRNA from 1 species
GUUCCUCUUCGUACACGUUAAAUUAAAUGCAACCUAAAUGUAACUAAGAAUAAAUUCAAAUUUCUUACCGAAAAAAUGAAAAAGAAUUAUAAUAAUGGCGAACAUAGUUUUGCAAAUAUAUUAUUCAGACCAUAAUUAAAUGGCUUUUAUCACAAUAUUUGAUAAAAACUGUUCUGCAAAUUUUAUAGGUAUAUAUUAAAAUCAUCAAAACAAAAUUAAAAUUAGAUUAAUCAAAGAGCUUAUAUUAAGUUUUGAUGUUUGUACGUUAAUUUAGUUUAUAUACGAGUACUUGCCUAUGUAUACAUGUACGCCACUAAUCAAAUAAAUACUCUAACCCUAAACCUCAUCUGCCCCAUUUUCACUAUUACCUGCCCCAUCUUGUAUCCUACUCUAUCUUUAUCCAACCCCCAGCUCUCAACUACAACCUUCUUUCGCUGCCCGUCAUCUGUUUCCCACACCACCAACCCCUUGCCCCGAUCUUCCUUUUCAACAACUCCAAUCUCUUGUUUGUGCACUUUUGAUUACACAUAGCCCCGAUCUUCCUUUCUGACAAUCUCCAAUCUUGUUAGCCCAUUUAUUAUCACCCCUAAUAAUUGUUGUGAGUAAAUUCCGGCAUCAUUCUUCAUUAAAAGUGACGAUGAAGAUGAAAUAGAAAAGGAUGAAAUAAUGGUGUGUAUACGUAUAUAAUAACUCUAUAUCAAGUUUCACUGAAUUCUUUAUAUCAUUUAGUGAUAUAUAUUAGUGAUUUUUGUAAUAUAAUUAGUGAUUGAAGUUUGAAUCUAGCAAUUUUAAGAAAUAUGUCAAGGAAGUGAUUUUAUGUAAAUUAAUGAUUGUAGUGGUUAUUGAUCAGGGUGGUGAUGAUCGAAGAUCAAUUUAUAUAUUAUGUAUUUAUUUUUAUAAUAAACUCGAACAGUCACUAAAUAUUAUUAUCAAAUAUUAUUGUUAUAAUUAUUGUUUUCUAGUUUUUCGUGCAAAAGAGUUUUUCAUGGAGUAAAUAUAUUAUGUUAUAAUAUAAUUUAUAUAUUAUUUUAUAAUUAUCAUCUUUCUUCUUCAUCUUAAAGUCAAUAGCCUCCAUCAUGUUGCACCUCUGUUUAGAUCUGGUUAAUUUUUGUUCUUAAACAUAGUUGAAGAAGAUGAUGUCAAUUAUAAUGGAUUGUCCUGCAACUACAAUGGAUUAUGCUGCUAUCAUCGUCUUGCAUUUUCAUUGUAUAGAUAUGUACAAUAUGUAAUGGGGUGCAAAACAAUUCAUUGUAAUUGCCAUCAUGCUCUUCAACUAUGCUUAAGAACAAAAAUUAACUAGAUCCAAUAAAGGUGCAACACGAUGGAGGUUGUUGACUUCAAGAUGGCAUAGAAAAAUGGUAAUCGAUGAUGAACGAAGUGGGCAAACAAUUACAUAAAUGUGCAGAACAAUUGCAUAGCACUAAGAGAUACAUAAAACACAAUACCAUAAUUGAAGCCUGUGAUUAUAGCUGAUGGUCCGUAUUUUAUACUGUAUAUCAAACAUUCACUCACUAAAUAUAAUUAAAAAAUAAUAAUAAAAGAAAAAUAAUAAAGACCGUUAGAUUAAAUAUAAUGAAUGACUAAGAUGUUGGUCUCCAAUACUAAAAUAAAAAUGUGGUCCAUAAGGAACUUUACUCAAUUAUUAUAAAUACAUUACAACAAUAUAAAUUUCAAAGUUUUCUUACUCAGCUUCACUGUAAUUUUAGUAUCCCAUGAAUUUAAUAAUUAUCAUUUUAAUUCUUUCACAUAUAUUAAAAUAUAGAAAGUAUAUUUUAAUUUUUAAUUUUCAAAUUUUGUUAUUUCAAUUUAUUCGAAUAUGUGAUUUUUUUCCAAAAAAUAUUAUUAAAAUAUAUACUUCAUGUAUUAACAAGUAGAGCGAAAAGAAAAGUAAACAGAAAACCUAUUAUUGAUAGGGUUUUGCUUGUGGGCACAACAAUAAGUAAGGAUUACGACGCGUAGACAUGGACCUUGACUGGUAGCUACGUCGAGGAAUAGAAGCAACACUAUAAACACCCCGUGACAGGUACGCCAUUUUAUUCAUCACCAUCCAUUUGUCCAAACCGACUUCUCGAAAUUAAUAUACCAGUACUAUGAUUCGGAUCAUAUUUUGUUGGACUAGUUUUCAUUUUGAAGUUAUCUUCUGACAGAUAAAUAUCUUGCCUGGUUUAAUUUGAUUUUUUAAGAACAUCUCUGAGAGCAAGUAAAUGAACAAGUCUUUUAUUAAAAAUAAUUUUUCAAUUAUCUUAAUAUAGUAGUUUAUUUUUAAUAUUAAUAUUCAUAAGUAUAUAGUAUAUUUUAUAAAAUACAGUAAUCUUUUAUGUCCUGAAUGGCCUUUAGCCAAACUCCACCAAAGUCAAACUUUUCUAGCUAUAAAAUAAUGGCCCUAGCUAAUAAAUAUUUUUAGGUAAGAUAGAAAGCAAUAGCUAUUAAUAUUAUUAAAUGUUGUCGACAAAACGUUAAAGUCCGUCUUCAUCAAGGAAUUGUAAAUAACUGUGAAUCGAUUUUAUCCCGUAAAACUAAUGCUUUACCAGUAAAGUAAAAUGCAAAAUAUGUAUACAAUACAUGUAAAAUAUUUGAUAAAUUUCUAUGUGAAUGAAUUCAUAUUAUAUAGUACUCCCUCCGUCCCUCUGAGUUGUUUACCUCUACACUGUUUGCACACAUUUUGAGUCUCCUAUAAAAUAAAGCCGCAUAAUUUUUUUUAAAACUUUUUUUUUUUGAAUAAAAGUUUAAACAUCAAAAUUUUAUUCAGAGAAAAAAAAUUUAAAAAAUAUAUUAUAAAACUACACUUUAAAUUGAGCGUGGAAAAACAUGCCGAAAAGUAUCAUAAAGAAAUGAGAAGGACAGAGGGAGUAUAAGAUAAAAUUUAUAUUACAAUAAAACAGUAGCUGCUGAUGAUUAGCCUAUAUAUUCAUGAAUAAAUAUGACAUUUAAAAUACAUAAAGCCAAGAGAACCGGGAAACGCUAGAUUCGGGUGCCUUAAUUAGAUGAAUUUUGAAAAUGAUGUCUUUUUUUUACAAUCGUAAAAUAAAAAUUUACAUACAUUCAAUCAAUAUAUAAUAUACAAUGACAUAAUCUAAAAUAUUGUUUUAAGAUUGAAAACACCAUCAAUUCAAAUGUUCGAACUUUAGUGAAAAGAGAAAAAUGAACUCACGCGUGUAUAUAAGGCGUGAGUAUUGGAUUUCAACUACUCCUAUAUCUUUGUAUCUUAAAUAUAAGUAUUAAACAACUCCAUCACAUUAUAGUGAUAAAAAGAUUUAUUUUUAAUAUAAAUAAAUAAAACAACUCCAUUAUUACGUGGCUUUGAACGAGGAGCCAAAAAAUAUGCUCGCUGGACGACGAGCAGAGGAAAAUAUCCCCGUUGCCUUCGGUGACGAUUCAAAUAUGGAGCUACUUUUUGUUUUCUAUUCAUAAGAUUCAGUUUUUUCCUACUAAAAGAUAUUGUGAUGGUAUAAGCCAUACCCAUUAGAAAAGAAAAAGUAGCUCCAUCCAAUACUGGAGAGUAUGUUUUCUCGUAAUUAAAUAUUGAGAAAAUUAGGCUAAUAAUCGAGCCAUAUAUCUCAUAAUUCCUUUUUCAUACAAAUACCCAUAUAUUCCUAAUUAAUAUGAACAACACCAGAUGGUGUUUAGACUAGAGGCCCAGACACAUUUCUCUUGGUAAAGGAUUGCAAUUUUUCCUUGAUUGCAUUUUCCCUUUUGGCCAAUUUUAUAUUUGUCGAAACUCUUCAAUAUUUGAUAGUUCAAGAUUAGAGCUCAUAAAAAUAUGACAUGUCAAGGAAAAGUACACAUCAUCAAUCUCAGUACACUUAGGAUCCAAAAAAAAAAUUUAUGUGCAUAACUCAAAUUUGUCACUUCAGGGGAAAUAUCCUCUUCUAGAGGUAAUACAACUUAUUAGAGGUAAUACUACUUAUUAUGAUUAUGUUCUAAACACUUUAUGGGCUCAAACCUCUUCAUGUGGUGAUACCACUUCCACGAUAUUUCUUGGAAUGUGGGUAUAGCGGUUAACACACUUCCAGUAUGAAUAUAAAUCGAUUAUCAAUUCUUCUGGAAUUGAUUUAUUAGUAGGGAUUUCAAUCCUUACCGGAGCUUUAACAACAAGUACAUGUGUACAUGUCUAGAAUCACUAAAAAUAUUUGAUAUUUAAUUAGCAAUAUUUAGCAUAUGAAUAGUUCUAUUACCUCAAAUUCACAUUAGUUUGUGGGUCAACAGCAGUAGGCCUGAUGCAUGCCAUAAUAUUUUAGAAUUUUAUAUUUAUUAAAAUUUAUUUCACCCUAAGAAAGGAAGACAGAUUCAUAAAAUUGAAAAUAGACAUAUUGAGUAGUAUAACAUCACCAAUAUAUUGUCCAUGAUAUCUUAUAAUAGACGUAGAAUAGAAAACAACAUAUAUACCAGUUACAUCCCAAUUUAAUUCUUAAUGGUGUUAAUAUUGAACAUAUGCCUCACAACUAACAUAUAUUUCAGUGACAUACAAUGAGAGAAAAUUGGGCUCAUAAUUUAUUGAUUUGAGCAAGUAAUUUGGUAAAUGUUAUAUUUUGGGUUGUAAGUAAACAUACAUGGGGACCACCUGAAUGAGGCGUCAAUUAACACCAUAAAAAUACCUAAAUGGGCCGAAGAUAGGUUGAUUGGACCAUAAAUGUCACUUUGAAUUCUUUCUAAGAAAUUUAGAGACUCGAUUUAAUGUUUGACUGAGAAUGGUCGGGCAAUCGAUUUUUUCAAAAAAAUUGCGAACAAUAAAGUUCAACUCUGGGUAUUAAUCUUAUAUUUUUAAGAGGAUAACUCAAUUCAAUUUUAUGUAAUAUGAUGCAUCACAUGUGCUCAUAUAUAUAUGAUCGAGUCUUUUGAAACCAAUUUUAAAGUAUAAACUAGAAAGUAGAAUAAAAAAUUAAAAUAAGUAGACGCCAAAAAACAUCUUUUCAUUUUACAAUUCAAUGUCCAUCCCCUCUAUCAUUUGCAUAAAAUUUCGGUGAUUCUGAUCACAGUUUAGAGAAUUUAGUGUUAUUGAUGAUGUAAUAGUUAUAUAUGAUGCGCUGGCGGUGGUAUAGUAGUGACCGUGAAGUGGUAAUUGAUGUUGGUCGUUAUGAUAUUGAAUUUAGUGAUAUUAGUGUCGUGGUUAUGAUAUUUAAAUUUUAGUGAAUGACAAUGAUGAUAUAUUGGUGUUGUUAUAUAUAAAUACAAAAUAAUGAUUCUUGUAAUAAAUUUUAGGGAUUAUUGUAAUAUUAUUUAGAUAUUAGAGUUUAAAUAUGGUAACUCAUGUUCAUGUGUCAUGAUUAAAUUUCAGAUUUUAUAAUUUUUGUUGGAAGUAAUUUAUGUUGUAGAUGGUGGUUAGUGGAUAGAAAUGACGAUAACAAUAACGGAGUCAAGACGAGUUAAUUAUUCUGAUAAUUAUGGUGGAUGGAGGUCAGAUUGGAGAUGGUGACUAUAAUCGAGCUAAUUAUUGAUAUCAAUGAUAGAGAAAGAGGAUGAAGACUUUGAAAUAGUGGGAUAUAGAUACAAAUAUUUUUUUUAAUGAUAGUGAUUAUUUUCUAAUUUUUAUCUUUACAGGGUUUGUAGUGUAGUAAGACUCCAUAUUUGUAUAUUUAUAUAUAAAGAGGCAAGUGCUUAAAUGAGAACAAUGCUUAUGUGAAAUAGGGAUCUAAUCUCAACCACACAAAUUUGAAGCUGCUUUUAAUCUUAUCCAAUUAUUUAAAUCUUAUCAUCUCCAUCUCUAACAAUCACCAUCUUCUUACCCCUUACCAUUUCCACCAUAACUUUCGGCCACACCCACGGCCCACUUUCGCCUCGCUAGCAACCUCUCACCAUAUAAUCAUUAAUGUUGGCUAUUCUUCCCUCACCAUCCUCUUUAUAUCCCCUUCAUUUUAUCUCACCGGCAAGUCAUUGUCCUUGACCAUCAUUGAAGUUUGGCAUCCGCUUCAAUCUACCUCUCCUCUCCGCCAACCACAUCUCCGUUGUGGUGACCAUACUGAUGAAAAACUGCUGCUCAGCUCUAGGAAAUUUAGUACAUCCAGAUCUACACUAUUAUUAUUACGCGCUUAUAUUUGGAGAAAAUCUGUUGUGGUUAAGUAUUAUUUUGUGGUAAUUUAUGUUAGUUUUUCAUUUUUUAUUACUCUCAUCUAGUGACUAUACAAAUAUAUGGUUUGGUUGUUUUAGAUGGUGGUGGUUUCCGGUAUGAUGAUGAUUGAUGGGUGAUGGUGGAUUUUGUGUGCAUAUGGUGAUUUUAGGUCAGAUCUUGUAAUUUUGCACUAUCGUGAUGAUACGGAGGGGUGGGUGGUGGUGGUGGACGAUGUACUUGGGAGGAAGUGGCUAUAUGAUAGUAGGAAUUGUGUUGAUUCUAUUGAAAUCGAGUGAUUUUCUUAUGAAGAUAAUGGUGAUUUUUUGUUGCCAAUUAUCGAAUGUUGUGGUUAGAUCUCAUAUAUCAAAAUAGAGCCAACGUGUUUCAAAACUCAUCCUUACACGCUUGCACCCUCUUAUGUAUUUGUUCACAUUUUAUUCUAAAUUAAAAAAUAGUCAACUAGAUACUAUUUUAAAAUCUAAAUACUUUUUUCCUGUUUCAAGUUAAAAAAUCGUCAAACAAGUAUUAUUUUGAAAUCUAAAUACUUUUUCUUAAGACAAACCUUGUGUGACAACUGAUAUAGUAAAUAGUAAUAUAUCAAUACAUAUAAAUAUAAAUUUAUGUAAUAACGACUCAUAGAUUAUAUUAAAAUAAUUGGAUAAAACUCAACUCUGUAAACUGCAAUUUUGACUCCCAAGUGGUUCGCAUGUAUAUAUAUACACACACAUGAGAGUACACAGCAAGGAUUAUUACUUGUACGCCAGAAAAAAAUAAAUUUUCCUCUAUAUUCCAAAAUUUAGAAGCUUUUCCUUAAGUUUCAGGAGUCAUGCCUUCACCACCUCACCACAACCAUCCCCAAUCCCACCCAAAUCCCGCACCACCGGUGGCUGUUGUCGCUCCUCACUCAGGACCCAACCACCAGGCUCCUGCGCCACCGAAAGUCGUGGUUGUGAAUCCUCCUACUCACCAUGACAACCACAAACAUUAAACUUGGCGGAUGAUGAUGUUAUAUAUAAUGCGGUGCUACUUGUUGCAGCUGCUUAUAAUCACUUUGCUCUAAUAAAUUUUGUUGAAAUACUCUACGUGAUUUAUGUUUUUCUAUAUGUAUUCUGGUCCAAGUCGACGAUCUUGUAAGGUAAACCUAUGUGUUAUAAAUAAACUCCUUGACGAGUAAUUUAUUGUAUUGUUCGUGCGGUUCUUGGAUCAAGUAUAUUGUCUUUCUUGCAUCAAACAACUACUGUAUUUAUAUAUAGUACUGUUCUAUGAAAGUGGGGUUUAAAUUUCUAUUUA